rnacentral:rRNA from 1 species
GAUGAACGCUGGCGGCGUGCCUAAUACAUGCAAGUCGAGCGAACAGAUGAGGAGCUUGCUCCUCUGACGUUAGCGGCGGACGGGUGAGUAACACGUGGAUAACCUACCUAUAAGACUGGGAUAACUUCGGGAAACCGGAGCUAAUACCGGAUAAUAUAUUGAACCGCAUGGUUCAAUAGUGAAAGACGGUUUUGCUGUCACUUAUAGAUGGAUCCGCGCCGCAUUAGCUAGUUGGUAAGGUAACGGCUUACCAAGGCAACGAUGCGUAGCCGACCUGAGAGGGGGAUCGGCCACACGGGAACUGGGACACGGUCCAGACUCCUACGGGAGGCAGCAGUAGGGAAUCUUCCGCAAUGGGCGAAAGCCUGACGGAGCAACGCCGCGUGAGUGAUGAAGGUCUUCGGAUCGUAAAACUCUGUUAUUAGGGAAGAACAAAUGUGUAAGUAACUAUGCACGUCUUGACGGUACCUAAUCAGAAAGCCACGGCUAACUACGUG